rnacentral:rRNA from 1 species
AACGUAGGGGACAAGCGUUAUCCGGAUUUACUGGGCGUAAAGCGCCCGUAGGCGGCUUUUUAAGUUGGACGUGAAAGCCUCCCGGCUUAACUGGGAGAGGCCGUUCAAAACUGAGAGGCUAGAGUGAGGCAGAGGAGCGCGGAAUUCCCGGUGUAGUGGUGGAAUGCGUAGAUAUCGGGAGGAACACCAGUGGCGAAAGCGGCGCUCUGGGCCUAAACUGACGCUGAGGGCGAAAGCGUGGGAGCGAACGGG